GAUGAACGCUGGCGGCGUGCCUAAUACAUGCAAGUCGAGCGAACAGACGAGGAGCUUGCUCCUCUGACGUUAGCGGCGGACGGGUGAGUAACACGUGGAUAACCUACCUAUAAGACUGGGAUAACUUCGGGAAACCGGAGCUAAUACCGGAUAAUAUAUUGAACCGCAUGGUUCAAUAGUGAAAGACGGUUUUGCUGUCACUUAUAGAUGGAUCCGCGCCGCAUUAGCUAGUUGGUAAGGUAACGGCUUAACAAGGCGACGAUGCGUAGCCGACCUGAGAGGGUGAUCGGCCACACUGGAACUGAGACACGGGCCAGACUCCUACGGGAGGCAGCAGUAGGGAAUCUUCCGCAAUGGGCGAAAGCCUGACGGAGCAACGCCGCGUGAGUGAUGAAGGUCUUCGGAUCGUAAAACUCUGUUAUUAGGGAAGAACAAAUGUGUAAGUAACUAUGCACGUCUUGACGGUACCUAAUCAGAAAGCCACGGCUAACUACGUG
rnacentral:rRNA from 1 species